rnacentral:snoRNA from 1 species
AGGAAGUUUUUUCCUUUUUAUUUAAGUGAUGACUGUGAGUGCAUUUGGCUCGAGAUGCUUUUAAUAAUUUAUUAUUAAAAGUGUUGAUGUGGAUAAACUCAAGCUACCUUUUUUUUCUUUCGUCUGAUU